rnacentral:tRNA from 1 species
GCUGUGAUGGCCAAGUGGUUAAGGUGUUGGGCUAACACCCCAAUAGGGUUCCCUCUGCAGGUUUACAUCCUGCUUGCAGGC